rnacentral:lncRNA from 1 species
CCCAUUCCAAGCUUCACACGAUGAAGCCAUCAACAGCCCGUGCCAACGCCCAUGUCCCAGACUUUCCGUAAUCCAAGCCUCCCACGUCUGCUCCUCCCAACAUCGUGCGCAGCAGCCCGCGUUCUUCACGCGGUGAACGUCCCAGCAGCCGGUAAUCCAGCUCCUUCCGUCGUCUCCACCCUCUUUCGGAAACCCAGCAUCAACCCGUUCGCAGCUCCUCCCAGCGAUCCCGCAACGUCCCAGCUCUUCCGUGACCCAAGCACCGCGUCCGUGAUCGGCUCCUCCCAGCGAUCCCACGGCGUCCUCCCGUCGAUCCCGCGGCAUCAGCCUCCUUCCCGUGAUCCCAGCGCCUCACAGCCGCUCCAUUCCGUCUCCUCCGCGUCUGCAAGCAUUCCAUGAUCCAGCUUCCCGAAUCAGCGCCCCGCCAGCUGUGAUCCAGCCAUUUCCUUCUUCGUCUGCAGCUCCUCCGCCUCUGCUCCCUUCCGUUUCUUCAUCCCGCAGACCCCAGCCACGGAUCACCUUCCAGAUCCAGCCUCCUCCGCCUCUGAUUCUGCCUUGAUGCAGCCGAGAUUCCGCGUCCGUUCCGAAGAGGUGAUCCCGCACACGACCGCAGACCGCGCCCUCCUCCUCUCCCGGGAUCCAUCGCUGGCUUCAAGGUCUUCGGCGAUCUAUAAGAGGAGGACGGGAGGAGAAGAAAGAGAGCUCUCGGCGGGGAGAGGAUGGAGUGUUCGGUUUAGAAGAGAGAGAGAAAAAAAAUAGAAACAGAGCAUGGCUCUGUUUUGGUUUGAAAAAAAAAGAGAAUAAAAAAAAUAAGGGGAGGGGAAGAAAGGGGAGUUUUCUUGUUUUUUUUCUUCCUUGGUUUUUAUGUUUUAUUUUGUUGAAGGAGGAAGUAUUAGGCUUCCAAUCUUCAUUUUAUUUUUGUAAUUGCCCUUUUAUGCAAUCCAUACAUUUAUCUUUUA